rnacentral:rRNA from 1 species
ACGCUCGACACCUACGGGAGGCAGCAGUGGGGAAUAUUGCACAAUGGGGGAAACCCUGAUGCAGCGACGCCGCGUGAGCGAAGAAGUAUUUCGGUAUGUAAAGCUCUAUCAGCAGGGAAGAAACUGACGGUACCUGACUAAGAAGCACCGGCUAAAUACGUGCCAGCAGCCGACGGUAAUCUGAGCGGGCUGGCAAGGC